GAACGAACGCUGGCGGCAGGCUUAACACAUGCAAGUCGAACGAGAAGCUUACUUCGGUAAGUGGAAAGUGGCAGACGGGUGAGUAACGCGUGGCAACCUACCUUUUUCUACGGAACAACAGUUGGAAACGACUGCUAAUACCGUAUACGCCCUCCGGGGGAAAGAUUUAUCGGUGAAAGAUGGGGCCGCGUUAGAUUAGCUAGUUGGUGAGGUAAUGGCUCACCAAGGCGACGAUCUAUAGCUGGUCUGAGAGGGUGAUCAGCCACACUGGGACUGAGACACGGCCCAGACAACUACGGUUGGCAGCAGUGGGGAAUAUUGGACAAUGGGGGCAACCCUGAUCCAGCCAUGCCGCGUGAAUGAUGAAGGCCUUAGGGUUGUAAAAUUCUUUCGCUAGGGAUGAUAAUGACAGUACCUAGUAAAGAAGCCCCGGCUAACUCCGUGCCAGCAGCCGCGGUAAUACGGAGGGGGCUAGCGUUGUUCGGAAUUACUGGGCGUAAAGCGUGCGUAGGCGGAUUAUUAAGUUAGGGGUGAAAUCCC
rnacentral:rRNA from 1 species